rnacentral:rRNA from 1 species
UACGUAGGGUGCGAGCGUUAAUCGGAAUUACUGGGCGUAAAGCGUGCGCAGGCGGUUCUCCAAGUCCGUUGUGAAAGCCCCGGGCUCAACCUGGGAAUGGCGGUUGAAACUAGUCGACUCGAAUCUGGCAGAGGGGGGUGGAAUUCCACGUGUAGCAGUGAAAUGCGUAGAGAUGUGGAGGAACACCGAUGGCGAAGGCAGCCCCCUGGGCUGAGAUUGACGCUCAGGCACGAAAGCGUGGGGAGCAAACAGG